GGUGAUGGGUGAUAUUUCUGAUGGCAUGUUGGCAACCCAGAACCAUUCCUUUUUUUUCCUUAGGAUAUCCCUACAUCAUGGAAAAUGGAAGCUUGGAAACUAAAUUUCACAGAAUGCAGGCCAGCAGGAUUCUGGUUGAAGAGCAGCUUCUAUUUUCUUGCUACUUCAGCAGUAGUGCAUGGAGAUUGGACUAAAACCUGGAAGAGGUUAAGGCCAAAAGAAACUGAGCCCAAGGUACUGGAUGAAGCCAGCAUUGAAGAACAACCUGUCUCUAGAAAUCUAGCUCAUCCAGGUACAAAGAACAGGUGGGAGUCUGUGCUCAUCAAACAUCAUUUCCUCAAGAAGUCUUGAUUUUGAAGAAUGCUGUCAUAUAUGAACUUGAAGAAAUCUGGUAUUAGCCUCAUGUAAUGUUCUAAGUCAU
rnacentral:lncRNA from 1 species